AGUGAACGCUGGCGGUAGGCCUAACACAUGCAAGUCGAACGGCAGCACGGGAGAGCUUGCUCUCUGGGUGGCGAGUGGCGGACGGGUGAGGAAUGCAUCGGAAUCUACUCUGUCGUGGGGGAUAACGUAGGGAAACUUACGCUAAUACCGCAUACGACCUACGGGUGACAGCGGGGGACCUUCGGGCCUUGCGCGAUUGAAUGAGCCGAUGUCGGAUUAGCUAGUUGGCGGGGUAAAGGCCCACCAAGGCGACGAUCCGUAGCUGGUUUGAGAGGAUGAUCAGCCACACUGGAACUGAGACACGGUCCAGACUCCUACGGGAGGCAGCAGUGGGGAAUAUUGGACAAUGGGCGCAAGCCUGAUCCAGCCAUACCGCGUGGGUGAAGAAGGCCUUCGGGUUGUAAAGCCCUUUUGUUGGGAAAGAAAUCCAGCUGGCUAAUACCCGGUUGGGAUGACGGUACCCAAAGAAUAAGCACCGGCUAACUUCGUGCCAGCCGCCGCAGUAA
rnacentral:rRNA from 1 species